rnacentral:rRNA from 1 species
AGUGAACGCUGGCGGUAGGCCUAACACAUGCAAGUCGAACGGCACUACAGUAAGAGUUUGCUUUUACGGGAGGCGAGUGGCGGAUGGGUGUGGAUUACAUCGGUCUCUAUUUUUUCGCGGCGGAUAACGUCGGGAAACUUACGCCAAUAUCGCAUACCCCCUACGGGUUGAAGCAGGGGAUCAUCGGACCUUGCGCGAUUGAAUGAGCCGAUGUCGGAUUAGCUAGUUGGCGGGGUAAAGGCCCACUAAGGCGACGAUCCGUUGCUGGUCUGAGAGGAUGAUCACCCUAACUGGAACUCGAACACGAUCCGUGCUCCUACGGGAAGCAGCAGUGUGGAAUGUUGGGCAAUAGGCGCAAGCCUGAUCCAGCCAUACCGCGUGUGUUAAGAAGGCCUUCGGGUUGUAAGGCCCUUUUGUUAGGAGAGAAGAGCAGCAGGUUAAUACCCCGCUAGUCUGACGGUACCCAGAGAAUAAGCACCGGCUAACUUCGUG